AGUGAACGCUGGCGGCGUGCCUAAUACAUGCAAGUCGAACGAGUGGCGCACGGGUGAGUAAUGCUUGGGAAUCUAGCUUAUGGAGGGGGAUAACUACGGGAAACUGUAGCUAAUACCGCGUACCAUAGGAUGAGCCCAAGGGGGAUUAGGUAGUUGGUGAGGUAAAGGCUCACCAAGCCGACGAUCUCUAGCUGGUCUGAGAGGAUGAUCAGUCACAUUGGAACUGAGACACGGUCCAAACUCCUACGGGAGGCAGCAGUAAGGAAUAUUGCGCAAUGGGGGAAACCUGACGCAGCAACGCCGCGUGGAGGAUGACGGCCUUCGGGUUGUAAACCGCUUUCAGCCAUGACGCGGUAGUGGCAGAAGAAGCACCGGCUAACUACGUGCCAGCAGCCGCGGUAAUUC
rnacentral:rRNA from 1 species